CCUCUCCUGGGCGGAGUCUGGUUGCCACUGGGAUGGGGUGGGACCAGGGAGUCCUCGGGGGUGGGGGUGUGGAGGCCUGUGGGUCUACAGUGUGGAGCACUGGGCCUUGGCCAGCCAAGGGGGCAGAGAGAAGGGCCUGGUGCCCCUCUUUGCAGGGCAGCGCAGGUAGGAUCUUCCCCUUUGGGAAGUUGGAAGGCUUGGGGGCUGCACAGGAGUCAAUGGGGGGGCGGGGUCCCCACACCGGAAGUCACUCAGGAGCGGGGAGCCAGGUGACGGAAGCCAGGC